UCCUCAGAUCAGUCGAGAUUACCCGCUGAACUUAAGCAUAUCACUAAGCGGAGGAAAAGAAACUAACCAGGAUUCCCCUAGUAACGGCGAGUGAACCGGGAAGAGCUCAAGCUGAAAAUCUUCGGAAUUGUAGUCUAUAGGUGCAGACUCGUGCAACUUCGGGUGUAAAUCCGUUCAUGGAACUGGGUGCCAGAGAGGGUUAGAGCCCCGUCUUCGACCCUGAAUGUUGUGCGUGGCGAGCAGGCACCAGCGAGUCGGCUUGCUUGGGAAUGCAGGUCAAAAUGGGUGGUAAACUUCAUCUAAAGCUAAAUAUUGGCGAGAGACCGAUAGCGAACAAGUACUGUGAAGGAAAGAUGGAAAGAACUUUGAAAAGAGAGUGAAAAAGGGCUUGAAAUUGUUAAGAGGAGAAGUGAUUGGAGCAUAUCAUACUAUCAAAGACAAAUGGCAGGGAUUUAUCCUCGCAAUGAAGCCUUUGGUAGUUGGUCAGCAUCAGUUUGAGGUUGGGGAGACUACAUUUACCAUGAAACCUAGUGAUUGAUAAGUGGGAAACCCAGCCUGAGACUGAGGCACAAAGAACGCGCACAGCGCCCGGCCUAAAUCCUUCUAUAUUGUAGUCCAACACUCUUCGGAGUGUUGUCUGCACUGUGGUUGAUAUUUGGGUUGCAGGAUCUGCGUUCUGAAGAUGCUGGCACAAUGGCUUCAAUCAGCCCGUCUUGGAACACGGACCAAGGAGUCUAACACGUAUGCAAGUAGUAAGGUGGCAAACCUUGGAUGCGCAAUGAAAGUAAACGUAGGUGGGAUUCGUAAGAUGCACCAUCGACCGACCAGGAUCAUCAGUGAAAGGUUUGAGUAAGAGCAUAUUUGUUGGGACCCGAAAGAUGGUGAACUAUGCCUGAAUAGGGUGAAGCCAGAGGAAACUCUGGUGGAGGCUCGUAGCGGUACUGACGUGCAAAUCGUUCGUCAAAUUUGGGUAUAGCGGCGAAAGACUAAUCGAACCAUCUAGUAGCUGGUUCCCUCCGAAGUUUCCCUUAGGAUAGCUGGAGCUCAUACAAGUUUUAUCAGGUAAAGCGAAUGAUUAGAGGCCUCGGGGGUGAAACAUCCUCGACCUAUUCUCAAACUUUAAAUAGGUAAGAGGUCCUUGCCACUUAAUUGGGCAUGGGCAUUGAAUUGGAGCUCCAAGUGGGCCAUUUUUGGUAAGCAGAACUGGCGAUGCGGGAUGAACCGAAAGUUGUGUUAAGGUGUUUAACUGUCGGCUCAUGUAGACCCCACAAAGGGUGUUGGUUCAUAUAAACAGCAGGACGGUGGCCAUGGAAGUCGGAAUCCGCUAAGGAGUGUGUAACAACUCACCUGCCGAAUGGACUAGCCCCGAAAAUGGAUAACGCUCAAGCCGACGACCUAGACACGACCGUUGGCGCAAAUGCGAUGUGCCAACGAGUAGGAGGGCGUGGUGAUUGUGAAGCAGUUUUGGACGUGAGUCUGAAUGAAACGGUCACUAGUGCGGAUCUUGGUGGUAGUAGCAAAUAUUCAAAUGAGAACUUUGAAGACCGAAGUGGAGAAAGGUUCCAUGUGAACAGCAAUUGGACAUGGGUUAGUCGGUCCUAAGAGAUAGGGGAACUCCGUGUCAAGGGAGCCAUCUGGCUCCGCCUAUCGAAAGGGAACCGGGUUAAUAUUCCCGGACCAGCGUGUGGAUAUUGCAUGGCAACAUAAAUGAACUUCACGACGGCGGUGGGAGCCCUGGGAAGAGUUGUCUUUUCUUUUUAACAUGCUAUCACCGUGGAAUCGGGUUAACCGGAGAUACGGUUGCAUGCAUGGCAAAGCACCUUACGUCUUGAGGUGUCCGGUGCGCUCCUGACGCCCCUUGAAAAGUGAAGGGAAGCGUUAAUUCUCACAUCUGGCCGUACUCAUAACCGCAUCAGGUCUCCAAGGUGAGUAGCCUCGAGUCGGUAGACGAAGGUGAGUAAGGGAAGUCGGCAAAAUAGAUCCGUAACUUCGGGACAAGGAUUGGCUCUAAGGGUCGGAUGUGAAGAGGACCAGAAGAAUUGACUGCCCUAUUUCAAGACGCGGCGAUGUUCGGGCUUGAAAAAAAGCGGAUCAUUCUACUGGCGGGGCCAAUAUAGCUCAAAGAGUUUGUAUUUACCCGUCUUCUCGUCAAAAAACGAUCAGCUUAGAACUGGUACGGACAAGGGGAAUCCGACUGUUUAAUUAAAACAUAGCAUUGCGAUGGCCGGAAAUCGGUGUUGACGCAAUGUGAUUUCUGCCCAGUGCU
rnacentral:rRNA from 1 species